UGGGGAGUAUGGAAAAUACAAGAUUGCAGUUGUUGGUGGUAUGUUCUGCAAUGGAAUAACAUUCAUUACUCCUUGCAGAUUAAUACUAAGGUUUGCACCGUAAUCCAGCAUUCUUGGAUAACUGCUCCCAAUUUCACUCUAGGUUGGUAUUGGAUAACCUACUUGAGAUGGAAUCAUUGUAGCUCCAGUUGUUAAGAAUUGGUCAUAGU
rnacentral:lncRNA from 1 species